GACGAACGCUGGCGGCGUGCUUAACACAUGCAAGUCGAACGGAAAGGCCCUGCUUUUGUGGGGUGCUUGAGUGGCGAACGGGUGAGUAACACGUGAGUAACCUGCCCUUGACUUUGGGAUAACUUCAGGAAACUGGGGCUAAUACCGGAUAGGAGCUCCUGCUGCAUGGUGGGGGUUGGAAAGUUUCGGCGGUUGGGGAUGGACUCGCGGCUUAUCAGCUUGUUGGUGGGGUAGUGGCUUACCAAGGCUUUGACGGGUAGCCGGCCUGAGAGGGUGACCGGCCACAUUGGGACUGAGAUACGGCCCAGACUCCUACGGGAGGCAGCAGUGGGGAAUAUUGCACAGUGGGCGGAAGCCUGAUGCAGCAACGCCGCGUGCGGGAUGACGGCCUUCGGGUUGUAAACCGCUUUCGCCUGUGACGAAGCGUGAGUGACGGUAAUGGGUAAAGAAGCACCGGCUAACUACGUG
rnacentral:rRNA from 1 species